rnacentral:tRNA from 8 species
GCGGAUGUAGCUCAGUUGGUAGAGCAUCACCUUGCCAAGGUGAGGGUCGCGGGUUCGAGUCCCGUCAUCCGCU